rnacentral:snoRNA from 1 species
ACCCUCUUGUAGUUCAUAAGCAUGAUGAUUGCCUCGUGUGUAGGGUAUGUCUCCCUCUAACGUUGUUAAGACGCCAGCACGUUACCUGUCUGAUA